CCUACGGGUGGCAGCAGUGGGGGAUAUUGCACAAUGGGGGGAACCCUGAUGCAGCGACGUCGCGUGGGUGAAGAAGCGCCUCGGCGUGGUAAGCCCUGUCAGCAGGGAAGAAAAUGACGGUACCUGAAGCAGAAGCCCCGGCUAACUACGUGCCAGCAGCCGCGGUCAUACGUCGGGGGCAAGCGUUAUCCGGAUUUACUGGGUGUAAAGGGGGUGCAGACGGGGAGGCAAGCCAGGAGUGAAAGCCCGGGGCCCAACCCCGGGACUGCUCUUGGAACUGCGUGGCUGGAGUGCAGGAGGGGCAGGCGGAAUGGCUGGUGUAGCGGUGAAAUGCGUAGAUAUCAGGAAGAACACCGGUGGCGAAGGCGGCCUGCUGGACUGCAACUGACGUUGAGGCCCGAAAGCGUGGGGAGCAAACAGGAUUAGAUACCCUUGUAGUC
rnacentral:rRNA from 1 species